UACAGAGGUCUCGAGCGUUAGGCGGAAUCACUGGGCUUAAAGCGUGUGUAGGCGGAUCGUUAAGUGCCUUGUGAAAUCCCACGGCUCAACCGUGGAACUGCUUGGCAUACUGGCGGGCUUGAGCAACCUAGGGGCGAGCGGAACAAAUGGUGGAGCGGUGAAAUGCGUAGAUAUCAUGUGGAACGCCAAUGGUGAAAACAGCUCGCUGGGGGUUUGCUGACGCUGAGACACGAAAGCCAGGGGAGCAAACGGG
rnacentral:rRNA from 1 species